ACUAAAUGUCUUUGGUCAUUAUUGAUCAGCUGUCUGUGUUUGAUUGUAACAUAAAUGAAAAAGAAAAAUCAAUUGAUGGUAGACAUGAAAUACAAUGACAACGAGUCCCAACCUUUUUCUGUCAAAUAUUAGAUGAAGAAAAAAUGUUUUUCACCCCACCAAUGGUAAAGAAAGGGAAAAAUAUAAACAAACACUAAUCUUUAUUAUACAUAUGAUGAUGAUUUAAUUUAUGAUUGAUGCAGGAGCUUGGGUUGGUUUGAAGUGUCACAACCAUGAGAGAAAGUGGAAGGGGAAAGGGUCAAUGGUAGCUAGAGGUGUAACUGAUGAAUUUGGAGAGUUCAUAGUAGAUCUUCCUUCUCAGCUUCAUGCUGUUCCUAACUUGGAAAAUGUAUGUUAGGUAAAAAUUGAUCGGAUUCCAAAGCGGUCAUUUUGUCCAGCAGUUGGUGUGAAGAAAUAGAAGGAAUCGAGUCUCUCUUCCUUUGGCAAUGGCAUCCGCCAUUUCUGCAACCCAAACCGUAACUUAGAUUUUUUUAACCUUAGGCAACCAAGUGAAUUUUUUUUAAAAUCACCACAUUUACCCUUAGACGUUCUGAAUCAAAAACAGCCACCUUGCACAUAUGUCUCCACUGUUAGCUGCAUCGUUAAAUAUUUAACACUGUGACAAAAAAAGAUUUGAUUGUACACUUUUUUUCACAAGUUGGAAUAAAAUUGAACUUUUCAAAAAAAGAUAGGACGCAUUUGAACAUUCACGCCUAAAAAAGAACCAAAAGAGAUAUUAAGUCUAAAUGAAAUAACUAUUGAGAGAGUAUGCCUUGGUUGUAUGGAAAAAUGAAUUUAUCAGUAAAAAAAAUUGAUGAUCGUUGUCCAAUACUUUAUUUUUCAGAUUUUAGCUCAAGAAGGUUUUUAAUUUUUGAACAAGCUUGUGAUGGUCUAGGUUUGAAUGAAUAUUUUUCUUUAAAAAUAAUUUUUUAGUUUAUGUUUCGAUAUUUUUACUAUGAAUAGGUUCUGAUUGAUUUGGAUUUUUUUUAAAUUUCUUAUGCAAAAUGAAUAUUUUUUAUUAAGAUUUUAAUUUUUUAUGAGUAAAAUGGCAUGUGAAAUCACUAAAAAAAAUAUUUUUGUGGACAUAAUUAUGUAUUUUCACUUCAUUGAUAAAUUUAUUGUAUUGAAAGUGAUUAGUUUUUUCCUAUGUUUCAAAUGUAGAUGGUAGAAUGAUUAGUGAUGGUUUCAUACCCAUUUUGCAAUUCAUAAAAUUGGGAAAAUAUGGUUGAGAUGUUGAGUGAAUUUGAAACAAAAUAGAAAGAGAUGAAAGCAAAAAUUAAAACAAAUAAACAGACACACAAAUUAAAAAGGGAAAACACAUAAUCAUUGAUGCAAAUCGAGUUGUGGACGUGACUGGAAAUGAAAGCAAGAAUAAGUGAAAUGAAGUGGAUAAACAAUUGAAUAUUUAUACCAUUAUAACCAUUAUUAUUUUUCUAUUUAGGUCAUUGAAAAAAAAUUGAUCAGUAAUCCUAAAACCUAUGUUACAUGUACCUUUAAGUCACCUUAAUGAGUUUUUAUUUCCUAUGUCUAUGACCAUAUAUAAUGAAUAUGCUUUCAGCUCUCCAUGUUUCACAAUAUCGAAAAGCACUAAAAAAAACUAAUAUACUUUUCUUCUAGUCAAGGUUUAAACUCACCACCUCCAAGUCUUAAACCACUUCAAACUAAAUAGACUAUCACAUUUGUCAUUCACAUACACAACAAAUACAAAAAACCAUUACACACAAACACGGCAAAAAAUAUAAUAAAAAAAAAUAUAAAUCACAUUUAAUGCAUAAAGAAAGAAUAAAACACAUGACCUUUAAUCCAUAACAAAGAGUUUUAAGCAAUUGUGCAACACUUUACUUCAAUAUAACUUAUCAUUUAUUAUUUUAACUAAUGUGUCCAUACCUAUACCACACUUCUAGAAAUUUAUUUAUUUUUCCUAGGUCUUAUAAGGUUCACUCAAUGUCUACGUCUAAAAUUGUAAUAAGUCUUAAUAUAAACUAACAAUGCAACUAAUAAUAAUUUAUAAAUUAAUCAAACAUCUAACAAAUAUAAAAUUAUACAAACAUUCGACAUUUAAUAAAUCUAAAAUUAAUCAUAUAUCUAAUAUAAACUAAAAAUACAAAAUAAAGUCGAUCAUCUGAUAAGUGUGAGUAGAUGAUGAUGAUGUAUAAGUAGAGCAGACUCUAAGAGGUGAUAAAUCAAAUGUAUAGUUGGAUUAAAGUAGAUGAUUUUGUAUGGUUGACUUUUGAGAAAUCUUAUGUACAUUCUUAGUCUAUUUCUCUUUUGGGGUUGUAAAUAUAGAAUAAACUUAUAAUUAUGUUUGGAUAAGUAUAUGGAUAUUUUAUAUUUGUCUUAAGUUAACUCUUCUAGUUUAUUAAUUUUGUGACGGUUCCUUAAUAUUAUUUAUACUAUUUUGAAUGGAAUAUUAUAUAUAUAUAUAUAUAUAUAUAUAUAUAUAUAUAUAUAUAUAUAUAUAUAUAUAUAUAUAUCGAAUUCCAAGUCUUAUUAUGUAUUUACAAAUAAUAAUAUUGUUAUUAUCUUUUGAAAAUUAAAAGAAUGAAAAACAAAUUAAUGAGUGUAUUAUGACAAUAUAUUUCAAAAAAUCACACAUGUCCAAAUUAGAUGUAUUAUUGGACAUUCCACAUUCACUAGAGACAAAGCCAAAUUAUAGUACGUAAAUGGGUGCAAAUCACAUCUUACAAGUCGAUUUUGUAAGACUGAGUUAGGCUUAAAGUCCACUUAAAAUAUGUGCUAGAAGUUCUAAAACAACUAGAGAUAAAACCAAUUUAUAAUAUAUAAUUGAGUGCAAAUCUUACCUUAGAAUCCAGUUUUGUAAUAUUCAUUUAGGCUUAAAAUCCACUUAAGAUGUUUAAGAGUCGUGAGUUAUAGUCCAUGCUUGCAAAAUUUGAUGUUUGUUGGGUCUAUUGUUCCAAUUGCUAUCAAGCGCUAUCAGACCACCCAUCAAUGUCUAAUCCCACGCAUGAGAUGUAUAUACAUCAAUCUAAGUGAGGUGUGUUGGAAGUCUCACAUCAACUAGACACAAGACCAAUUCAUAACAUAUAAGUAAAUUUAAACCGUAACUUACAAACCAAUUUUGUGGGAUUAAGUUAGGCAUAAAGUCAAUUUCUUAAUAGUUUUUUUAGGUUCGGUUUGUCUUACCGAAAGGCGUGGUUAUUGAAGUAAUAAUUUUCUAGAAGUAAGCACUAGAUAAUUAUUUAAAGAUAGUUGAAAAAUGAGGGAUUAACCAAGUUUAAGAUUUUAAGGUAAGAUUGGAUGGUAAUUCCAGGUUUCGGGAUAGGUAUGCCAACCUUUAGAUCGAUAAUUAAGGAAACAAAUAUUGGAAGAAUGACACAAAAGUCAUCUUAGUAUUCAUCGAGACAUGAGUAAGAUAUAUAAAAUUUUAAAGGAGUCUUUAUGGUGAAUUGAGAUGAAUAUAAAUAACUUAACAUUAAAAUUACACUUCAAGAAAAAUCCAAACAAUAUUCUAUAAUAUUAUUAUAAAUAUAUAAAAAAUAUUUUUUUAUGGAUUUGGUACAAAUUUUCAAUGCAUAUAAUUACAAUGAAUUAUUUGGAAAAUGAUAAAACUUUUAUUGGUACAAGUAAAUGAAGUUCUUGAACAAUCUAAUUUCAAAUUGAAGAUACACAAGGAUGUCCAAUAUUGACUACAUCAUCCAAAAUAAAUUUCCUCCAAAACCAAUGUGAUUUCCAAACUUUGUUCAUUUUUUCAAUUCGAACAUUUCUUGUCUCGGAUAGGAGCAAGGCAACAAAAAUGGUCAUGAUAAGCACAAAUCCAGCAAAGAAAAAGAAAAGACCAAACUUUAGGUGACAAAGCAUGGUUAGGAAAAGUUGAGCAAUGACAAAGGUAAAUAACAUGUUUACAACAACAUUGGUGCCUUGGCCCGCAGAUCGAACCUCAAAAGAACAUAUUUCACUAGGAACCAACCAUCCAAGGGGACCCCAAGACCAUGCACAUGCUGCAACGUAUGCACAUAUAAAGAAUAAGAGAAGACUAGCUUCUCCAUUGGUAAAAUAACCUUCACCACUCACUUCAAACUUUAGACCAAUCAUGAUUCCAACAGCAAGCUACACAUAUUAUGAACUUCAAAUUAGUUCUUCAUCCUAGCAAAUGACUUUAGUGACAAAAAUUUUAUUUUUUAAAUAUUUUUCGCAACCGGAAAAUCGCGACGGGACGACGAUCCAAAAAAGAAAAAUAUUUAAGAAAAAAAAAGAGUUUGGAGUCGCCACCAUAGUUUAUUCUGGAAAACUACGAAAAAAUCGUAAAAUGAUAAGGCAAGGUCUACAAAACCAAAUUCUGGUUUCGGAAGUCGGUUAUGUGUGAGGAAGGUGUUAGCACCCCCACAACGCCUGCCCCAAGGCAGUACCUUUAACUAAAUACGUGAAUUUUAUGUGGUUUGCAAAAUGUUUAAUUUCCCCUAAAAAAUAAAACUCUAAAGAAAACAAAAUAUUUUUUUUGUUUUUUGUGCCCGACAAGGAUUGACCUUGCUCCUACGUAUUCUCAGUUGGGCUGAGAAAUCAGGGUUACGUAGUUCUUUCUGAAAGAUUGUUUGUUUGUUUGAAAAUGAGAAUGCUUUUAGUUUUUGGCAUUUUUUAUAUAAGAAAGGGAAAAUGUUUUCUAGCACAAGGACGAUGCGUGCGAUCACACAUGUGCUUAAACGCUUAAAACAGUUUUUAUUAUUUUUAUGAAAAGAAGAAAAGGUUUUGGCACGAGGACGAUGCGUGCGAUCACACACGUGCUUAAACCUUUAAAACAUUUUUUGAUAUUGUCAUAAAAGGAAGAAAAGGUCUUAGCACGAGGACGAUACAUGCGAUCACACACGUGCUUAAACCUUUAAAACAUUUGUUAAUAUUUUUAUAAAAGGAAGAAAAAGGUCUUAGCACGAGGACGAUGCGUGCGAUCACACACGUGCUUAAACCUUUAAAAAUAUUUUUAUUAUUUUUAUUAUUUAUUUAAAAAGUAGAUAAAAUAAAAUAAAUAGGUAAAUAACUAAAUAAAAUAAAAAGUGGAAAAAUAGAAAUAGGUAAAUAACUAGGUAAAAUAAAAAGUAAAAAUAACCUAAAAAUUGAAUGAUAAAAUAAUAAGAAAAUAAUAAGUAAAAGGUGUGGUGGUGCUUAGAUAAGAAGAGGGGUGUGCAAACUAAAUUAAUUCUUAUAACAGGUUGGGCCUAAGCCCAAGUGGAAAGGGGUGGUGAAAUGGAAAAUAGGGGCUGCAAACCUCCUUUGAUAAAAAAAACGGACUGGGCCUAAGCCCAAGUGAGGUGGAGGUUCGACUUAACAGAAACGGGGGUGUCAGGAAGAAAAACGAAUUUUUUCUUUGUUGGUUUUGGUUUUUAUAUUUUUUUUACUUAUUUUAUUUUAAAAAAAGAAAAGGGCCAUGGCCCAAGAUUCCCAAUAGCAGAAAAAAUAGGGGUUCUCUCCCUAACCUCCAUUUCAACAUUGCACGCUCCAAAAUCAGAACAGCCAGGAGCUAGGGUUUCUCCUCUGCAUGAGAACACCAGAGAGGCUUUGCCUCUACCGUUCACUCAUGCACACACUGCCGUCGACGGCCACAGGCCGUGAGCCAAGACCGCACCGGUGACUCUGCUCGUCACCGGAGCCGACGCCGACCACCAGGUUUCCUCCCCUACUCGCCACCACCUCUACUCAGCCUCCACCGUUCUACGUCGCCGCUCCUCUUCCUCCUCAGUUCGAGGGUUCCCUUUCUCCUCCUCUCUACGUCGUCGUUGAAGUCUCAUCAUCUCAUCCUCGUCGGCGACUGCGACCUUUACCGAACACGUUGCACGAACCAACUUUCUUCUUCUUCGAACGAAACCGUCGCCGACAGUGAAACUGGUGCCACCGCCGCUGUCGACAACCGGUAGGAGCCGCUCUCGUUCACGGCGGUUCAAGAUGCCCUUGCUACCGCAAUCGAAGGGUGAAAGGAACACACUGUGGUGUUCCUGAGUGAAUCUGUGUGAGGUGGGGAAUGAAGAUGACACUCUGGUUGCGAUGCAGGGGUUUAUGGAGAUGAAAAAUGGGUUCUCUGCCUUUGCGCGUGCUUCUUUGUGGCUCGAAUGGAAAUGGAACUUGGUGUUGAGUGGUUGGAGGAAUGAUGGACAGUGCAGGGGGAUACAAGCCUGUGUGUGGAGCUUGAAAAUGAUUUUUUCUUUUUGGUGAUUGGUUUUAUCGUUGUGGCUUUGUGUUGUGCAGGUUGAAGAUGAUGGUGUUAUGCGUGUUGACUUAGCGGAAGUAUCAGGAGAAGAAUGACGAACUAGAGUUUCUUGCUGUCGAGAUCAAUGAGGAAAGGGUGAGGGGUUUGGAGGAUGACGCUAUCGUAAGCGUGGGUGAGGAUGAUUGUGGUUGGGAUGUAGGUUGGGGGACAAAGGCAAAGAUGAAUGGAGUCAGCUGGGGUAAAAGAACGGUCUUGAAUAAACUGACACGGGAUCUGUAAUUUGGUCUGUUGAUGCUAUUUGAUGCAGGUGGAAGAUGGUCUCGAAGAUAGCCAUAACUUAUACCAGUAUACCUAGAUUGAGAGGAACCUAUGGAGGAACCUAUGGUCUACUAUAAGGACAAAACCACUUCUAUUCUUUCAGUUUUUUAUAAGAACUGAUAUGGAAAUGUAUCAGUUUUUGCUUUGCUUUUUGUUAUGUGCUUUCUGGGUAAUGGACAUUGAAGUCAUGUUGGGUGUAUUUUGAUUAACAGAUGAAGUCACAGAAGAAGCAAACGACUAUGUACUGAUCAAACAUCCUUCAUGCAUAUCCAGACAGCAUUAUUCAUUCAUACCCAACAUCAUUCAUUCAUAUCUAGACUCAUAACAGAGGGCAUGUAUUCACAUAAGGCAAAACCAAGAGCUUAAACAAGGAAACUUACCUUCGCAGCUUCAAAAGAACUCUCCCUUUUGGCUUCUAGUUCCCUCUGUCUUCUUGACUGGAAUUUUCCUUUGCUUUCCAAUGGUCUUGCCGGCGUAAG
rnacentral:lncRNA from 1 species